CCUCACUUCAUCUUGCUCCAUCUGCCUGUUUUAACCUUGGGAAAGCUUUGUUUUUUUACACUUCAACAACUUGAUCACAUUGAGUGCCGUGUCUUCAAUAAACGGACGUACAAGUGCACGUUGACAACCAACUUUACGCUCCUUCGUCAUUGAAGCCAUCUAGUGCUACUUUCAGUCAAGUUAAUCAAGAGUGUUUAGCUAUCUGGCGAUGUGUGCCUCGCUAUGCGCGCAGGUGCCAGAAUACAGACGCCGAGCUGACAUUCUUUCUGUUUUCACCUGCACCAGCCUUCGGUUUUUGAUCUCUGGACCCAAUCCCCGUUACCCUGCCUGCCCGUAAGCCCCCACCUCUCGCACCUCUCGGACCUUAGUUCAAGUUCUCUGCCUGACUGCGACUGCCCUCUACGACCGUGCUCUGACCGACACUAAUAAACAUCCUUAACUGCU